CAUGCUGUAAACGUUGUGCACUAGGUGUGGGAGGUAUCGACCCCUUCCGUGCCGCAGCUAACGCAUUAAGUGCACCGCCUGGGGAGUACGGUCGCAAGACUGAAACUCAAAGGAAUUGACGGGGGCCCGCACAAGCGGUGGAGCAUGUGGUUUAAUUCGAGGCAACGCGAAGAACCUUACCCAGGCUUGACAUCCCGUGACCGCCUGUGAAAGCAGGUUUUCCCUUCGGGGACACGGAGACAGGUGU
rnacentral:rRNA from 1 species